CUACGGGGUGCACCAGUGAGGAAUAUUGCACAAUGGGGGGAACCCUGAUGCAGCAACGCCGCGUGGAGGAUGACGCAUUUCGGUGUGUAAACUCCUUUUAUAUGUCAAGAAAAUGACGGUAGCAUAUGAAUAAGCACCGGCUAACUCCGUGCCAGCAGCCGCGGUAAUACGGAGGGUGCAAGCGUUACUCGGAAUCACUUGGCGUAAAGGACGCGUAGGCGGGUUGGAAAGUCAGGUGUGAAAUCCUACAGCUUAACUGUAGAACUGCACUUGAAACUUCUAAUCUAGAGUAUGGGAGGGGGAGAUGGAAUUAGUGGUGUAGGGGUAAAAUCCGUAGAUAUCACUAGGAAUACCUAAAGCGAAGGCGAUCUCCUGGAACAUUACUGACGCUAAGGCGUGAAGGCGUAGGGAGCAAACAGGAUUAGAUACCCCUGUAGUC
rnacentral:rRNA from 1 species